rnacentral:rRNA from 1 species
AUGCCUAACACAUGCAAGUCGAACGAAGGCUUCGGCCUUAGUGGCGCACGGGUGCGUAACGCGUGGGAAUCUGCCCUUAGGUUCGGAAUAACAGCUGGAAACGGCUGCUAAUACCGGAUGAUGACGAAAGUCCAAAGAUUUAUCGCCUGAGGAUGAGCCCGCGUUGGAUUAGGUAGUUGGUGGGGUAAAGGCCUACCAAGCCGACGAUCCAUAGCUGGUCUGAGAGGAUGAUCAGCCACACUGGGACUGAGACACGGCCCAGACUCCUACGGGAGGCAGCAGUGGGGAAUAUUGGACAAUGGGCGAAAGCCUGAUCCAGCAAUGCCGCGUGAGUGAUGAAGGCCCUAGGGUUGUAAAGCUCUUUUACCCGGGAAGAUAAUGACUGUACCGGGAGAAUAAGCCCCGGCUAACUCCGUGCCAGCAGCCGCGGUAAUACGGAGGGGGCUAGCGUUGUUCGGAAUUACUGGGCGUAAAGCGCACGUAGGCGGCUUUGUAAGUCAGAGGUGAAAGCCUGGAGCUCAACUCCAGAACUGCCUUUGAGACUGCAUCGCUUGAAUCCAGGAGAGGUCAGUGGAAUUCCGAGUGUAGAGGUGAAAUUCGUAGAUAUUCGGAAGAACACCAGUGGCGAAGGCGGCUGACUGGACUGGUAUUGACGCUGAGGUGCGAAA